GAGUUUGAUCUUGGCUACAGAUUGAACGCUGGCGGCAUGCCUUACACAUGCAAGUCGAACGGCAGCACGGGAGCUUGCUCCUGGUGGCGAGUGGCGAACGGGUGAGUAAUGCAUCGGAACGUAUCCUGGAGUGGGGGAUAACGUAGCGAAAGUUACGCUAAUACCGCAUAUUCUGUGAGCAGGAAAGCGGGGGACCUUCGGGCCUCGCGCUCUUGGAGCGGCCGAUGUCGGAUUAGCUAGUUGGUGAGGUAAAGGCUCACCAAGGCGACGAUCCGUAGCAGGUCUGAGAGGAUGAUCUGCCACACUGGAACUGAGACACGGUCCAGACUCCUACGGGAGGCAGCAGUGGGGAAUUUUGGACAAUGGGGGCAACCCUGAUCCAGCCAUGCCGCGUGAGUGAAGAAGGCCU
rnacentral:rRNA from 1 species